rnacentral:tRNA from 8 species
GGGCCGUUAGCUCAGUUGGUAGAGCAGCUGACUCUUAAUCAGUAGGUCCUAGGUUCGAAUCCUAGACGGCCCACCA